rnacentral:rRNA from 1 species
GACGUAGGGUGCGAGCGUUGUCCGGAUUUAUUGGGCGUAAAGAGCUCGUAGGCGGCUCGUCGCGUCGACCGUGAAAACCCGCGGCUUAACUGCGGGCUUGCGGUUGAUACGGGCGGGCUAGAGUUCGGUAGGGGAGACUGGAAUUCCUGGUGUAGCGGUGAAAUGCGCAGAUAUCAGGAAGAACACCGACGGCGAAGGCAGCUCGCUGGAACGUGACUGACGCUGAGACGCGAAAGCGUGGGGAGCAAACAGG